GGGUACUGCCAGGGGGUAGCACACCAGAGAAAGAGACACAGGGGGCUGGCGAUAAGGUGGAACACCGGCCUGCAGAGGGUGCUUUGGUGGCUGGAUGAGUUAAUUCCUGAUGACUACCAGCAGGAGGCGCCGUUGGGUGGGAGCCGUGCACUGCACAGAAAUAUCUGAGGUGCUCAUGGGCUGGAAUGCUACAUGAGGUUUGGGCUGGGAUAUCCUUGAAGAGUUUGUUGGAAGUUGCUGAAAGUGCAGGUCAUCUGCAAGGAGAACAAACAUACUACAAUUAAGAAGAAAGCAACUACCCAAUACACAAUGAAGUUUCGCAGCUUGCUAUGGGCCAGAUUCUGUCAGCCUUCAUGUUUUGGUAGAACCUUAUUCUACAAAGAGUCACAUGGAUUUUAAUGGAACUAUUUGAGUGAAGAGAAAUGCGCCCUUCAGUAUGCUUUGUAUUGCUUUCCCACACACAGACGUGCAUGCACACUUAAUGUUCAGAAUAGUCUGCUUCUGAUCAGGCAUUUUCUUUGGCAUUUUCCCAUGGACGAGAAGGCUGGAGAGAAGCUGCAAAUAGUCCCUAUAAUGGACCUUGCACUCAAGGAUUCAGAUAUCUGAUCUAUUCUAAUAAAGGGUCUUUCAGAGACAAGUAACUAGUUCGUGCUCUUCUAGUAGGUACAGUGUUUAAAUGGUAAUGAAAGGUGUGCUGGGGCUCAAGCAAUGUUUUUUACUUUUAUAAUUGACAUGGCAAGAAGAGAGGUACCAGGGCUAUGAACUGGAAGUGUAGAGGUGCCGGGUCUCAGCCCUGGCAAGACCUAGCACUGAGUAGACAGAAAUUAUUUCAGAAUUAGAGGGUUCCCACAGUUUCACAGCAGGCUGGACAGAGAACAAAUCAUGUCUCCUUUGCAGAAAAUUAUCAAAAGUUUCUCAAAUAAAGGAAGAAUUUCUGACUACUUUUAUUUGAUCAGUCGGUUUUAUAUUAGUGAUUUUAGAUCUUUGAUACCACAGUUAAGAUUAAGGCAUUUUACCCCUUCGACUUGUAGUGAUAGUGUUUGAUAGGAUCUGUAAAAAGGCUACCAACAGGUCAAGUUUUACCUUAAUGAGAGUAAUGAUGAAUGCAAUCAUGUAUUGUCUUAUCUACACAGUUGCUCCCUUCAAAAGAAGGGAGUGGGGGAAAUCUAGGGCCUAGGAUAUUCUGUUGGAGGAGACCAUUUUUCUGAGUACUUAAACUCAACUGCACCUACAAGAAAUUAAUUGGCAGUGUUUCCUUUCCUAAGCUGAACAAAGCCUACAGACUCUGUAGUGGACUUCAAGAAACUUGGGAGUGGGGGAAGGAGUCGGGGAAGUCUCUAUGAUGCUAUUUCCCCUUACAUCAUCAGUUUAGAGAGUAACAUCAAGUUGAGAGAGAGGCUGAUGUAGAAUCAUUAAAAUCUUAGCCCUGGUCUACACUAGGAGUUGAGGUCAAAUUUAGCAGCAUUAAAUCGAUUUAACCCUGCACCCGUCCACACGACGAAGCCCUUUUUUUCAAC